rfam:Stegodyphus mimosarum contig87662, whole genome shotgun sequence.
GUCUUCGUGGUGUAAUGGUCAGCACGCUCGACCCGAAACCGAGAGGUCCGUGGUUCGAUUCCCGGGGAAGGCG